rnacentral:rRNA from 1 species
UUUAACAUGAGAGUUUGAUCCUGGCUCAGGAUGAACGCUGGCGGCGUGCUUAACACAUGCAAGUCGAACGAAGCACUGGAGCGGAAUCCCUUCGGGGAGGAAGCGCCUUUGACUGAGUGGCGGA